GAUCAUGGCUCAGGAUGAACGCUAGCUACAGGCUUAACACAUGCAAGUCGAGGGGCAGCAUGAACUUAGCUUGCUAAGUUUGAUGGCGACCGGCGCACGGGUGAGUAACACGUAUCCAACCUUCCGUUUACUCAGGGAUAGCCUUUCGAAAGAAAGAUUAAUACCUGAUAGUAUGGUGAGAUUGCAUGAUAGCACCAUUAAAGAUUUAUUGGUGUGCGAUGGGGAUGCG
rnacentral:rRNA from 1 species